rnacentral:rRNA from 1 species
AACGCUAGCCGGCAGGCUUAACACAUGCAAGUCGAGGGGCAGCGGGUUGUAGCAAUACAAUGCCGGCGACCGGCGAAAGGGUGAGUAACGCGUGAGCAACAUGCCCGAUAGAGGAGGAUAGUCGAUGGAAACGUCGCGUAAUACUCCGUAACAACAGUUCUCGCAUGGGAGUUGUUUAAUAGAUUUAUCGCUAUCGGAUUGGCUCGCGUCCCAUUAGGCAGUUGGCGGGGUAACGGCCCACCAAACCGACGAUGGGUAGGGGUUCUGAGAGGAAGGUCCCCCACAUUGGAACUGAGACACGGUCCAGACUCCUACGGGAGGCAGCAGUGAGGAAUAUUGGUCAAUGGCCGAGAGGCUGAACCAGCCAUGCCGCGUGCGGGAGGACGGCCCUAUGGGUUGUAAACCGCUUUUGUUGGGGAGCAAUAAGGUCCACGUGUGGAUCGAUGAGAGUACCCAGCGAAUAAGCAUCGGCUAACUCCGUGCCAGCAGCCGCGGUAAUACGGAGGAUGCAAGCGUUAUCCGGAUUUAUUGGGUUUAAAGGGUGCGUAGGCGGAGCUUUAAGCGUGAGGUGAAAUGCCUCAGCUCAACUGUGGAACUGCCUCGCGAACUGGAGUUCUAGAAUGCCCCUGCCGUGGGAGGAAUGUGUGGUGUAGCGGUGAAAUGCAUAGAGAUCACACAGAACACCGAUUGCGAAGGCAUCUCACGAGGGGGUGAUUGACGCUGAGGCACGAAAGCGUGGGGAUCAAACAGGAUUAGAUACCCUGGUAGUCCACGCAGUAAACGAUGAUAACUACCGCUGGUCCUUU